GGGGGCAUCAUCAAAAUCAAGCCAAUGAAGAAAAGAAGGUAGCCUAUGAGGACUAUGAAGCUGAACCUGCUGCUCAGCGACUAGUACCACGAGGUCACCCUCUCCUCCAGGCCCUUCUGGUGGAAUGGCAAGCCGCAGAAAAUUAUGUUGGGAUCCCAAAGAUAAGUCACCUGGAUGCAUUGCUUAAAUGAGUGCUUAAGUUUGCUACCAGAGCAAUCAUUAAGGUAAGCAGCAUAAGAGCAGCAUGCCCUGGUCACCAGAUAUUGACAACUUUUAGUGAACCUUGGUCACCAGGUUAGGUUAUUUCAUGCCUUUGCAGUUGCAGCUAACUAAUCAUCUACAAAAUGAUUAUUCUUUUGGCUACCAGUUCAAUAAUUAUUGAAGCUCAUUUGAAGUUCAUGAUGUUCAUCAAUAGUCAUUUAAGCAGAAGUCCCUGGCUGGAAAUAAGGAUGCAGAUUAGAUAAUUAUGGUGACUUUAGAGAUAGUUGUCGAUUGAUAUGAAUGACUUCAAAAGAUUGUGUAUGUGUAUCUGUAUCUGUAAUG